rnacentral:rRNA from 1 species
AACGAACGCUGGCGGCGUGCCUGAGACAUGCAAGUCGUGGGAGAAAGUCGGAGCAAUCCGGCUAGUAAACCGGCGCACGGGUGAGUAACACGUGGACAACCUGCCUUGGAGUUCGGGAUAACCCGUCGAAAGACGGACUAAUACCGGAUAUGACCACGGGGGAGUUCGCUCUCUGAGGUAAAAGAUGGCCUCUGCUCCUGCAAGCUAUCUCUUCGAGAGGGGUCCNCGUCCAUCAGCUAGUUGGUGAGGUAACGGCUCACCAAGGCUAAGACGGGUAGCUGGUCUGGAGAGGAUGGUCAGCCACACUGGGACUGAGACACGGCCCAGAGUCCUACGGGAUGCAGCAGUCAGGAAUAUUGCGCAAUGGAGGAAACUCUGACGCAGCGACGCCGCGUGGGUGAUGAAGGCC